AGGGUGCGAGCGUUAAGUACGGUAAUUACGUGGGACGUAAAGCGCAUGCGAGGCCGGCCGUUAGUUAAGUCAGAUGUAGAAACGGCCCGGGGACCUUUAACCGUACGGUAAGUUGCUAUUUAGUAAACGUGGCGAGGCUAGAGUCUUGUAGGAGGGGGGUAGGAAUUUCAGGUGUAGCGGUGAAAUGCGUAGAGAUCUGAAGGAAUACCAGUGGCGAAGGCGGCCCCCUGGACAAAGACUGACGCUCAGAUGCGAAAGCGUGGGGAGCAAACAGGAUUAGAUACCCUGGUAG
rnacentral:rRNA from 1 species